AGUGAACGCUGGCGGUAGGCCUAACACAUGCAAGUCGAACGGCAGCACAGUAAGAGCUUGCUCUUACGGGUGGCGAGUGGCGGACGGGUGAGGAAUACAUCGGAAUCUACUUUUUCGGGGGGGAUAACGUAGGGAAACUUACGCUAAUACCGCAUACGACCUACGGGUGAAAGCAGGGGAUCUUCGGACCUUGCGCGAUUGAAUGAGCCGAUGUCGGAUUAGCUAGUUGGCGGGGUAAAGGCCCACCAAGGCGACGAUCCGUAGCUGGUCUGAGAGGAUGAUCAGCCACACUGGAACUGAGACACGGUCCAGACUCCUACGGGAGGCAGCAGUGGGGAAUAUUGGACAAUGGGCGAAAGCCUGAUCCAGCCAUACCGCGUGAGUGAAGAAGGCCUUCGGGUUGUAAAGCCCUUUUGUUGGGAAAGAAAAGCAGCAGGUUAAUACCCCGCUGUUCUGUCGGUACCCAAAGAAUAAGCACCGGCUAACUUCGUG
rnacentral:rRNA from 1 species